rnacentral:tRNA from 1 species
AAUAAGAUAGGGAUAAGUUAGUCUGUAAGGUUCAUAUUCUUUUGGUGUUUUCUCUUGUUA